GGUCCCGUAGUUCAACGGAUAGAAUAGGAGUUUCCUAAACUCUAGAUGGCAGUUCGAUUCUGCCCGGGACUA
rnacentral:tRNA from 1 species